ACGGGAGGCAGCAGUGGGGAAUUUUGGACAAUGGGCGAAAGCGCUGAUCCAGCCAURCCGCGUGCGGGAAGAAGGCCUUCGGGUUGUAAACCGCUUUUGUCAGGGAAGAWAUACUUCKGGCUAAUACCCKGGGGUGAUGACGGUACCUGAAGAAUAAGCACCGGCUAACUACGUGCCAGCAGCCGCGGUAAUACGUAKGGUGCAAGCGUUAAUCGGAAUUACUGGGCGUAAAGCGUGCGCAGGCGGUUCUAUAAGACAGAUGUGAAAUCCCCGGGCUCAACCUGGGAACUGCAUUUGWGACUGUAGAGCUWGAGUACGGUARAGGGGGAUGGAAUUCCGCGUGUAGCARUGAAAUGCGUAGAUAUGCGGAGGAACACCGAUGGCGAAGGYAAUCCCCUGGACCUGUACUGACRCUCAUGCACGAAAGCGUGGGGAGCAAACAGGAUUAGAUACCCUGGUAGUCCACGCCCUAAACGAUGUCWACUGGUUGUUGGGAGGGUUUCUUCUCAKUAACSAAGCUAACGCGUGAAGUUGACCGCCUGGGGAGUACGGUCGCAAGGUUGAAACU
rnacentral:rRNA from 1 species